AUUUCCCUGCAGUGCACGUUGGUAGUCGGUGAUUGUUGGACCAACACCAAAUCAACGGGAGCUUUGACUUUCUAUUAAUUGAGGUUGAUAGAAGAGAGCACCCACUUGAAAAAAUCGGUUCAGAACAUCUAUCCAACGGCACAAGGCAGGGAUUUU
rnacentral:other from 1 species